rnacentral:rRNA from 1 species
GCAGUCGAACGAGUUCUCGUUGAUGAUCGGUGCUUGCACCGAGAUUCAACAUGGAACGAGUGGCGGACGGGUGAGUAACACGUGGGUAACCUGCCCUUAAGUGGGGGAUAACAUUUGGAAACAGAUGCUAAUACCGCAUAGAUCCAAGAACCGCAUGGUUCUUGGCUGAAAGAUGGCGUAAGCUAUCGCUUUUGGAUGGACCCGCGGCGUAUUAGCUAGUUGGUGAGGUAAUGGCUCACCAAGGCGAUGAUACGUAGCCGAACUGAGAGGUUGAUCGGCCACAUUGGGACUGAGACACGGCCCAAACUCCUACGGGAGGCAGCAGUAGGGAAUCUUCCACAAUGGACGCAAGUCUGAUGGAGCAACGCCGCGUGAGUGAAGAAGGCUUUCGGGUCGUAAAACUCUGUUGUUGGAGAAGAAUGGUCGGCAGAGUAACUGUUGUCGGCGUGACGGUAUCCAACCAGAAAGCCACGGCUAACUACGUGCCAGCAGCCGCGGUAAUACGUAGGUGGCAAGCGUUAUCCGGAUUUAUUGGGCGUAAAGCGAGCGCAGGCGGUUUUUUAAGUCUGAUGUGAAAGCCCUCGGCUUAACCGAGGAAGCGCAUCGGAAACUGGCAAACUUGAGUGCAGAAGAGGACAGUGGAACUCCAUGUGUAGCGGUGAAAUGCGUAGAUAUAUGGAAGAACACCAGUGGCGAAGGCGGCUGUCUGGUCUGUAACUGACGCUGAGGCUCGAAAGCAUGGGUAGCGAACAGGAUU